rnacentral:rRNA from 1 species
AGUGGCGAACGAGCGAGUAACACGUAAGUAUCUGCCCUGUACUCAGGGAUAACUGCCCGAAAGGGUGGCUAAUACCGGAUGGUCCCCGACUUGUCGGGGUACAGACUUAUCGGGUACAGGAAAGAGCUUGCGGCUUAUCAGCUAGUUGGUAGGGUAAAAGCCUACCAAGGCUAUGACGAGUAACUGGUGUGAGAGCCUGACCAGUCGCGAUGGGACUGAGACACGGUCCAUACUCCUACGGGAGGCAGCAGUAGGGAAUCUUCCGCAAUGGACGAAAGUCUGACGGAGCGACACCGCGUGAAGGAUGACGGCCCCAAGGGUUGUACACUUCUUUUCUGGACGGAAGAAAAUCUGCCGGUACCUCCAGGAAUAGGCCCCGGCCAAUUACCGUGCCAGCAGCCCCGGUAAUACGUAAGGGGCAAGCGUUAACCGGAAUCAUUGGGCGUAAGGCGUCCGCAGACGGAAAUGUAAGUCGGUUAUUAAAUACCGGAGCUCAACUUCGGUGCUGUAAUCGAAACUACGUUUCUAGAGGAUGGGAGAGGCAUAUGGAACUCAGCAAGUAGGGGUAAAAUCCGUAGAUAUGCUGAAGAAUACCAAAAGCGAAGGCAGUAUGCUGGACCAUUCCUGACGCUCAGGGACGAAAGCGUAGGGAGCGAAACGGAUUAGAUACCCGUGUAGUCUACGCCGUAAACGAUGCGUGCUCGGUGUUGGAGAGCUCGACCUCUCUCCAGCGCCUAAGGUAACUCGAUAAGCACGCCGCCUGUGUAGUACGAGCGCAAGCUUAAAACACAAAGGAAUAGACGGGGACCCACACAAGCGGUGGAUCGCGGGGUUUAAUUCGUUAACCAGCGGGUAACCUUACCCAGGCUUGACAUCCUGGUUAUACCUUUCAGAAAUGAUGGGGUCAGUUAGGCUGGAUCGGUGACAGGCGUUGCAUGGUUGUCGUCAGCUCGUGCCUUGAGGCGUUCGGUUAAGUCCGUUAACGAGCGCAACCCUCGCCGUAUGUUGUAUUUUCAUGCGGGACUGCCAGUUAUAAACUGGAGGAAGGUGGGGAUGACGUCAAAUCAGCAUGACCCUUAUGUCUUGGGCUACACACGUGGUACAAUGGCCAGUACAAACCGAAGCGAAGCGGUAACGUGGAGCCAAUCGGAGAAAACUGGUCUCAGUUCGGAUUGAGGUCUGCAACUCGACCUCAUGAAGUUGGAAUCGCUAGUAAUCGUAUAUCAGUCAUGGUACGGUGAAUAUGUUCCUGGGUCUUGUACUCACCGCCCGUCAAGGCAUGGGAGCUGGGGGUGCCCGAAGUCUGCCUAUUAAAGGUGGCCUAAGGCAAAACC